rnacentral:lncRNA from 1 species
GCUCGUCACUUCGAACUUUAGUUGGAGGUCGAGCCUGUCCUUUGUCCACCUUCUAGUCGCUUCCUGUAUGGGCGGUCGACCCCACAAAUCAACUGAAUGAAGAGAAAUGUUUGCCAUAAGAGAAAGCAGUGAUGAACCUUGCGGUAUUCCUAUUUCAUCAGUUUAAGAUGAACUAAUAGGUUACGCAAUCUUGCUUGGCACUUAGUAGUGCAAUAGGGUGUCCAUCAUCUAGAUCUAAAAAAAAAGUGAACGAGAUGCACGAUUGGCCCCUACAGCUAUACAACAUGCAUCUUCAAGCCAUAACUCUUUUCAAUCUUGUCCAGUGUUGGUAGGAUCAAUCAAAGGGGUAUCAGGUGAGGGACUAAAGAUUCAGUAAGUUGUCCUGCCCCUCCAUGGACCAUUCCAAACCACCGCAUGAGGUUCGCAAACUGCUUCAUAAAUGGGUAUGCACCAAGUCUCUACCAACCCCCAAGGUGAAUAGCAUAGCCUGAGGUAGGGGCUCUGAGAAGAGUUUCCGCGGCUACCCUUUCUCUGAAAAGCAGUGUCAGAGCUGUCCCAAACAUCUCCCUGAGUUGUCGAACAAGUGUCGCCAGCAGAGCACAGCAAAGGCUUUGGUGAGUCACAUUGCCGACAUAUCCUGAUUGAAAUUAACCUUAUUUAUGGUUCUCCGCAUAGUGAGAAGAACUUGUACUCGAAAAAGAUUCCAUCAAGGAGCAAGCAACCAAGCAACGGGAGAGCGCGCUAGCACGAAAGCCGUUGCUCUAAUGCCUC